AGUGAACGCUGGCGGUAGGCCUAACACAUGCAAGUCGAACGGCAGCACAGUAAGAGCUUGCUCUUACGGGUGGCGAGUGGCGGACGGGUGAGGAAUACAUCGGAAUCUACUUUUUCGUGGGGGAUAACGGAGGGAAACUUACGCUAAUACCGCAUACGACCUACGGGUGAAAGCAGGGGAUCUUCGGACCUUGCGCGAUUGAAUGAGCCGAUGUCGGAUUAGCUAGUUGGCGGGGUAAAGGCCCACCAAGGCGACGAUCCGUAGCUGGUCUGAGAGGAUGAUCAGCCACACUGGAACUGAGACACGGUCCAGACUCCUACGGGAGGCAGCAGUGGGGAAUAUUGGACAAUGGGCUCAAUCCUGAUCCAGCCAUACCGCGUGGGUGAAGAAGGCCUUCGGGUUGUAAAGCCCUUUUGUUGGGAAAGAAAAGCAGCAGGUUAAUACCCCGCUGUUCUGACGGUACCCAAAGAAUAAGCACCGGCUAACUUCGUG
rnacentral:rRNA from 1 species